rnacentral:tRNA from 1 species
UUCAGGGUGGUCUAGCGGUUAGGAUUUCUGGCUUUCACCCAGAAGGCCCGGGUUUGACUCUCGGCGCGGGAG